UGCAGAGGGUGCAAUCGUUAAUCGGAAUUACUGGGCGUAAAGGGCGCGUAGGUGGAUAAGUGUGUUGGAUGUGAAAGCCCCGGGCUUAACUCGGGAAGGUCAUUCAAAACUACUUGUCUAGAGUGCAGUAGAGGGAAGUGGAAUUUCCGGUGUAGCGGUGAAAUGCGUAGAUAUCGGAAGGAACACCAGUGGCGAAGGCGGCUUCCUGGACUGUAACUGACACUAAGGCGCGAAAGCGUGGGGAGAAAACAGG
rnacentral:rRNA from 1 species